rnacentral:tRNA from 1 species
GCUUUUAAUGGAUAGCAGUAUUCCAUCGGCUUUAGGAGCCGAGCAUCUU